AGAGUUUGAUCCUGGCUCAGAAUCAACGCUGGCGGCGCGCCUAACACAUGCAAGUCGAACGAGAAAGCAGGGGCAACUCUGUGAGUAAAGUGGCGUACGGGUGAGUAACACGUGGAUAAUCUACCCUUUGGUGGGGGAUAACCCUGGGAAACCGGGGCUAAUACCGCAUAACCUCGAGAGAGGAAAGUCGCAAGACGCCGAAGGAGGAGUCCGCGGCCGAUUAGCUAGUUGGUAGGGUAAAAGCCUACCAAGGCAAAGAUCGGUAGCCGGCCUGAGAGGGCUCACGGCCACACUGGCACUGAAACACGGGCCAGACUCCUACGGGAGGCAGCAGUGGGGAAUCUUGCACAAUGGGGGAAACCCUGAUGCAGCGACGCCGCGUGAGCGAUGAAGCCCUUCGGGGUGUAAAGCUCUUUCGGCAGGGAAGAUGAUGACGGUACCUGCAGAAGCAGCUGCGGCUAACUACGUGCCAGCAGCCGCGGUA
rnacentral:rRNA from 1 species